AUGCUGCUGCAGGGUUGUAGUCGUACCCGUGGCCAUGGUUAUCACUCAUCAACUUGGUCGUGCUCAUGUGGACUAUUUAUUUCCAACAAUGCCAUCAAACCAUCAGAGGUUCCUCGCCGGUUUCCUUUUGCUGCACCUUUGUUUGGUUUCUCUAGGAUGAGAGAACCUCUCUGCGUCUGUAUGCUGAUUUGGUCAUGGAAUUCGAGCCUCAUUUACUACACCUCUGGCAAUAAAGGAUCAGUACACGCCCAAUCUUCUGUGGCCUCCUCUCAUAAGAACUUCUACAUCGUUGGUUGGAUUGGAUAUUCACAGAACUUUAUACCAUAUACUUUGGGCAUUGCUGAAACAACUGAAUGUCAAAGGUACAUGCUUUUUCUUUUGAUUGUUGUAGCCAUCCUUCAUCUCCAGAGCCAUGGGGUGCUUAUGGGUUGUCCUACAAUUUGUGUGGAUGUAUUUAGCUGUGGCGUUUAUGGUAGCUGCAGCAGCUUGUCAAUUAGUUCUUAG
rnacentral:rRNA from 1 species